AGCUCCAAUAGCGUAUAUUAAAGUUGUUGCAGUUAAAAGCUCGUAGUUGAAUUUCUGGUUAGAAUAGUCGGUCUUGCACUCAGUGUAAGUACCAGACUCUUCUUCCCAUCUUUAGGGAGAACUCAUAUGGCAUUAAUUUGUUGUGUGAUGUAUCCUUAUCGUUUACUGUGAAAAAUUAGAGUGUUCAAAGCAGGCUUAUGCCGUUGAAUAUAUUAGCAUGGAAUAAUAAGAUAGGACUAUGGUACUAUUUUGUUGGUUUGUGCACCAUGGUAAUGAUUAAAAGAAACAGUCAGGGGUAUUAGUAUUCCGUAGUCAGAGGUGAAAUUCUUGGAUUUGCGGAAGACUCACAACUGCGAAAGCAUUUACCAGGGAUGUUUUCA
rnacentral:rRNA from 1 species